rnacentral:rRNA from 1 species
GUUGAUAAGGUUAAGUGAAUAAGGGCGCACGGUGGAUGCCUUGGCACUAGGAGCCGAUGAAGGACGGGACUAACACCGAUAUGCUUUGGGGAGCUGUAAGUAAGCUAUGAUCCAGAGAUUUCCGAAUGGGGGAACCCAAUAUCUUUUAUAGGAUAUUACUUUUCAGUGAAUACAUAGCUGAUUAGAGGUAGACGCAGAGAACUGAAACAUCUUAGUACCUGCAGGAAGAGAAAGAAAAUUCGAUUCCCUGAGUAGCGGCGAGCGAAACGGGAAGAGCCCAAACCAACAAGCUUGCUUGUUGGGGUUGUAGGACUCCAAUAUGGUAGUCUGUUAGUAUAGUUGAAGGAUUUGGAAAAUUCCGCUAAAGAGGGUGAAAGCCCCGUAGACGAAAUGCUGACAACACCUAGGAGGAUCCUGAGUACGGCGGAACACGAGAAAUUCCGUCGGAAUCCGCGGGGACCAUCCCGCAAGGCUAAAUACUCCCUAGUGACCGAUAGUGAACCAGUACCGUGAGGGAAAGGUGAAAAGCACCCCGGAAGGGGAGUGAAAUAGAUCCUGAAACCGUGUGCCUACAACAAGUCAAAGCUCGUUAAUGAGUGAUGGCGUGCCUUUUGUAGAAUGAACCGGCGAGUUACGAUUGCAUGCGAGGUUAAGUCGAAGAGACGGAGCCGCAGCGAAAGCGAGUCUGAAUAGGGCGAAUGAGUAUGUAGUCGUAGACCCGAAACCAUGUGAUCUACCCAUGUCCAGGUUGAAGGUGCGGUAAAACGCACUGGAGGACCGAACCCACGUACGUUGAAAAGUGCGGGGAUGAGGUGUGGGUAGCGGAGAAAUUCCAAACGAACUUGGAGAUAGCUGGUUCUCUCCGAAAUAGCUUUAGGGCUAGCCUCGGAAUUGAGAAUGAUGGAGGUAGAGCACUGUUUGGACUAGGGGCCCAUCUCGGGUUACCGAAUUCAGAUAAACUCCGAAUGCCAUUCAUUUAUAUCCGGGAGUCAGACUGCGAGUGAUAAGAUCCGUAGUCGAAAGGGAAACAGCCCAGACCACCAGCUAAGGUCCCAAAAUAUAUGUUAAGUGGAAAAGGAUGUGGGGUUGCACAGACAACUAGGAUGUUGGCUUAGAAGCAGCCACCAUUUAAAGAGUGCGUAAUAGCUCACUAGUCGAGUGACCCUGCGCCGAAAAUGUACCGGGGCUAAACAUAUUACCGAAGCUGUGGACUACACCAUUA